ensembl:lncRNA
GUCACUUGACAGUAGCAGCAAAUGACAGCUGUCCGGACUCGAAACAAUGCCCAUGGUCAUAUAAAGUCAUUUUUAAUUUCAUGUUAUCACAUUGCUUUGUAUUACAUAGUCAUUCAAAUGUGUAAAUGACCCCAAUAGAGACAAACAGUAUGUUUAAAUAGAUUGUAUGCAGUAUCAAUAACGUGGAACAUUUCUAUGCUCAUGACUUCUGGCAUUUUCAUUAAUGCAUUUGCUUCACAUGACUUGAUGAGAAUUCCCCGAGUGAUGGCUGCCACAUCUGUCCUAUUACAGGGGUUAAUAUAAUUCCUGGAGUGAUAAGACAACAUGAGUACAUCUGCAUGGAUUCUGCCAGGAGGUGAACAGUGUCUACUUACCAUGACUACACAAACAGUCCAGCUGGGACCAGUCAUAUGAGGAUGGCAAAUGGAAUAUGUAAAGUUGGGGCAGAGUAAUACCUAGCAUAAAUUUCACACUAUGCUGUGAGGAUAUGUGUAAUAUACAGUAGAGUAAUAAAACAGUGUCAUGGUUGAUUUUCACUAUACGUAGACACACGUGAUUAAUUUAUUUCUUGCAUGCACACUAAUGGUUACAGACUUCAAUGUAUACAUAUUUAUAUAACAAAUAGAAAGGUAUUGUCUGAGUUAAUAAACAGCUUUGAGUAAUGGAGAACAUAAUUUUGCCUAAAUGAACAGAUUAGAGAUUUAUGAAGUGGUUUCCAGUACCAUCUGUGUGGGGAGGGGUUUAGUGUAUUUCUUCCUGGUACUCGGUGAAUAAAAGUGUAUGCUGGUAUCCCAGUAUUUCAAUAGCAGAGCUCUGAUGAAUAUUAUAUGAGACUUUUAUAUGUGUCAACAUACCACAUUUCUCAUGCACAUCGCUCUCAUUGAUGAUGUGACACUAAUUCCAGCUUUCCUACAUACCCUCACUCUCUUCUGCGAUCUAUCGUCUGAUGAUAAUUUGUUUCCUACUAAGAGAAAGGGUUUACAGGUCACAAGUAAUGGAGAGGAAAACCUUAAAGGAAGAUCUAAGAAGAAACAGUGAUGGUUAAUGAUGAUGUCCAUUUAAUGAAUGUAAAGCAUCAUUGACUGACUAAAUGAGACAUUUUAACUGUAAAUCCAAAGAUCCUCUGUGCAUGACACCCUCUGGCCUAUUCUGAUUUACAAUACAGAGCUUGUAAGAUGGGUGAGAUGGGUCAUCCAUGGAUGAUAGUCUUUGCAGAUGUAGCUUUUGUGUGGAAAUAUUUUAUAGUCGGUGUGUGGUAGAGCUCUCGAAGGUGAACCUCAAUGAUGCACAUGUAAGAAUACUUGCAAAACCCCUUCUAGCAAGCUGGAGAAAUCUUCAGACUGUAUGCUUCAUCAUGCAUACACAAGUACAGUAGGAAG